AAUAUUUGACAAUGGGGGCAACCCUGAUCCAGCCAUGCCGCGUGUGUGAAGAAGGUCUUCGGCUUGUAAAGCACUUUAUGUUGGGAGGAUGGGGUUUAGGCUAUUACCCUGAAGUUUUGACGUUUCAAACAGACUAAGCACCGGCUAACUCUGUGCGAGCAGCCGCGGUAAUACAGAGGGUGCAAGCGUUAAUCGGAAUUACUGGGCGUAACGCGCGCGUAGGUGUUUCAGUAAGAUGGGUGUGAAAUCCCCGGGCUUAACCUGGGAACUGCUUUCAUAACUGCUGAGCUAGAGUACGGUAGAGGGUAGUGGAAUUUCCUGUGUAGCGGUGAAAUGCGUAGAUAUAGGAAGGAACACCAGUGGCGAAGGCGACUACCUGGACUGAUACUGACACUGAGGUGCGAAAGCGUGGGGAGCAAACA
rnacentral:rRNA from 1 species